UCCUGUCCAAAAUCCGAUCUGAAUUGAUGCACAACUGACACCUGUGAUCUGCGUCCGAACGUCGAUCGAGCUCAGAAGGAUCAUCAGGCAGUUUAAUCCAACUUCCGGCGAGCUCAAGUUUUCCGAUCGAAUGCUCCUUGCCUGCUAGGAUUUUGGCAAAAUGGCUGGCUAAAACCAGUGCUUGAAUGUUGCAGAGGACAUACCUCUGAGGAUUUUGGCAAAAACUUGUUAUCUCAGGGCUUGCAACAAGAUGAGAACAUUAUCUUCUGAGACAAAUUUCAAUUCAUUGUCUUCAAGCAAAUUUUCCACAGCCUGACUCAUUGUACAUACAAUCUGUAACUCGUGCAAGCCUACAAGGAUGGGUUUGCCACCUAAACUGAAAUUACAAGGGAUCAUUUGCUGAGGAGAGGGAACAGGCGUUCACGAAGAUCCGACUGAUAAGACAACAUGAAGAUGAGGAUCACAAGAAACAACCCAACACCCCAGGGAGUUCCCCCACUCCUCCGGUAGGAAUCUUGGCCCGGUAAUGGAAUAAAGAAGAGUGACAUGUCAAGCCAUGAAAGGCAGUGAAGAACAAGGAGAAGAAGCAGAGGAGACACCAUUAGUAGCAGCUUGAUCUGGUCUAUAAUGGCCUCAAGAAUAUGCCCAUAGUUGAUGUACCAUGUGAUGCCCACAAACAUGAAUAGCACAGCAAAGAAGAAACAGAAGUGUAGGGAUAAACGAGGUUGAGAAGAAUAAGGAUUGUUGUUAUUGUAGUAGUAGUAGUAAUCUGCCAUUUUUUUUUCCUCAAAGAUAACUGUUCUUGACUUCAGGAAGUUUGGAUAAAUGGUUUUGUUUA